ensembl:lncRNA
ACCAAGUGAGUCAGAGUAAUGUAGCUGACAUGAUAUUCAGUCUCAAACCACCCUUCAAAUGGGAAAUGGAAAAUAGGUGUAGUGAUUUAUUGAAACCUCUGCAAACAUAGAGAUACAACAUAUAAAGCAAAAUAGAAGACAACAUAAGACAAUUCUCACAAGGUUGGAAGUUAUUGUUUGGAAUUUAUUCUUCUAUCUCUGGGGAGGGCACUGUGUCUUUCCGUUUUGUUUUUUUAUCUGAUGUUUUUACUUCAUCGGCAUUAUCAUGUUGAAAAAAUGAAGUUGCUGCCAAUCAGAUCCUUUCCAGAUGAUAGUGCAUAAUGGAUCAAAGUCAGAUUAUACUUUUCUGUGUUCAUAAUUUAAUCAGUUUUGACAGGAUCCCAAAUACCACUGGUUAAAAUAUAGCUGUGACUAAACCCCCACUGUGAUUUACAGAUAGCUGUAGACACUUAUCAGGUGUUAGGGUUCUACCUGGCCUGAUCCCACUGAUUUUCAGUCCUUUUUGUGCAAUCUGACAUACCUCCCUGUUUUGCUUUGAGUUUUUUUUUUUUUUUUUUUAACAAUUGCUUUUUGACAGACACCUUUCCACCAAGACCAUUUCUGAUGAGGCUUUGGUGAACCGUAUGGAUCAACAUAAAGGCCAGAUGCAUCUCUCAGGUCUCAUGUCGGAGCUUUACUUGAUUUUUUUCCAUAUCUCUUAACCUCCUGAGAACCAAGAGAAAAUGAAUCUUGAACUUUAUUGUGAUUACCUUCCUGUUUGGAGAAAAGAGGCCACCUAAAGACAUCAGAUAUCAACGGAAAGCCCAGAGUGUCCUCUGUUUACUAUAUCAGAACUUAUUAGGGUAGCUCAAAUAAGGCAAAAGAUCUUAUGAAAAGCAAAUGUCCAUCACAGAGGACAUAAUUGAAUAGCUGAUUCUCAGGAGGUUAAGGCCUUUCAGGUGCUGUUCAACUGCUCUAGAUGUUUGGUUUUUGUAGACCUGCCAUUUCUUUUGUCCUCUACUUAUCUAAUUUCCUCAAAGUUUUUAAGGACACAACUGCACACUAUGCCAAUAUAUGCCAAAGAGAAGCACCUUGUUGGCAUAUUUUAUGUCUGUCAGGCUGCUUUUUUUGUAGACUGGACUAAAAA